rnacentral:rRNA from 1 species
UACGUAGGAGGCGAGCGUUGUCCGGAGUUACUGGGCGUAAAGCGCGCGCAGGCGGUCAGAUUAGUCUGUCGUGACAGUCGUCGGCUCAACUGACGAAGUACGAUGGAAACUGUUUGACUUGAGGGCUUCAGAGGGACACGGAAUUCCGGGUGGAGUGGUGAAAUGCGUAGAUAUCCGGAGGAACACCAAAGGCGAAGGCAGUGUCCUGGGGAGUACCGUGACGCUCAGGUGCGAAAGCCAGGGAGCGAACGGG